AAACUUGAGAGUUUGAUCCUGGCUCAGAACGAACGCUGGCGGCAUGCCUAACACAUGCAAGUCGAACGAACCCUUCGGGGUUAGUGGCGCACGGGUGCGUAACGCGUGGGAACCUGCCUUUAGGUUCGGAAUAACUCAGAGAAAUUUGAGCUAAUACCGGAUGAUGUCUUCGGACCAAAGAUUUAUCGCCUUUAGAUGGGCCCGCGUUAGAUUAGAUAGUUGGUGGGGUAACGGCCUACCAAGUCGACGAUCUAUAGCUGGUCUGAGAGGAUGAUCAGCCACACUGGGACUGAGACACGGCCCAGACUCCUACGGGAGGCAGCAGUGGGGAAUAUUGGACAAUGGGCGAAAGCCUGAUC
rnacentral:rRNA from 1 species